rnacentral:ribozyme from 1 species
AAGAGGAGCCCACCCACACAUCAGAUGAUAAAAGAGCAGCACUACAUGGUCGACAGCGGCGCUUCUUUUCUCCGAAGAUAUUGCCUGUUGAAAUACUGCCAAAUCAUCA